rnacentral:tRNA from 1 species
CGGAGUUUAGCUCAGCUUGGUAGAGUACUUGGUUUGGGACCAAGGGGUCGUAGGUUCGAAUCCUGCAACUCCGA